rnacentral:rRNA from 1 species
GUAGGGAAUAUUGGACAAUGGGCGCAAGCCUGAUCCAGCCACGCCGCGUGGGUGAUGAAGGCCUUCGGGUUGUAAAGCCCUGUCGGGAGGGACGAACGCCAUCCUUCGGGGUGGCUUGACGGUACCUCGCAAGAAAGCACCGGCUAACUCCGUGCCAGCAGCCGCGGUAAUACGGAGGGUGCAAGCGUUGCUCGGAAUUACUGGGCGUAAAGCGCACGCAGGCGGCGCCGUAAGUCGGGUGUGAAAGCCCCGGGCUCAACCCGGGAAUUGCAUUCGAAACUGCGGUGCUCGAGUUCGGGAGAGGGAAGUGGAAUUCCUGGUGUAGAGGUGAAAUUCGUUGAUAUCAGGAGGAACACCGGCGGCGAAAGCGGCUUCCUGGCCCGAUACUGACGCUCAUGUGCGAAAGCGUGGGGAGCAAACAGGAUUAGAAACCCGGGUAGUCC